rnacentral:lncRNA from 1 species
GUCAGGACGUGCGAAAAGCGACGGCGCAGCACGGUGCGGCGCAGCUCCUGCUCGCCUUUCCCUUCGCUGGGCGAGAGGUGUCUAUGGGGCACCCGCUGCCGCCGCCGCUACCGCCACCGCCACCGCCACCGCCGCCGAGUGCUGUCUCUAUGGCGAGGAGGAGGAGGAGGAGCGCGAGCUCAGCGACACAAGUACAUAAAUAAAGGAUAAAAUAUUUUAUGAAACAAAUCUUCAAUCAAGUAUAACAUUUUGAUGCUUGGCAUCUAGACUCCCUUGUGCCCUCACUAUGCCAGCGGCAACUGUAGAUCAUAGCCAAAGAAUUUGUGAAGUUUGGGCUUGCAACUUGGAUGAAGAGAUGAAGAAAAUUCGUCAAGUUAUCCGAAAAUAUAAUUACGUUGCUAUGGUAUGCCCACAAGCAGAUCUUUAAAACGCUUCAUAUAAAGGAGGAAAAGGAAAUUUUAAAGUCUUGAAUUCAACCCUUUUGGUUGAUAUUUUUAGGGAUUAAUUUCACCAUGAAAAGUAAAAUUUGUCACUGCCCUCCAGCCAAAAUCCAUCAGGAAUACACCUGUGAUUUGACAGGUUGGGUUUAUCCCUCAUUGCAGUGAGGGAAAACGCACUGGAAUUCAUGGGAACCAUGGGCCGUUUGAAUAAGAGUUAGGAAGGAUUUGGGCUCGUGUCAGGUGGUCUUAGGGGAAGGUA